rnacentral:rRNA from 1 species
GAUGAACGCUGGCGGCGCGCCUAAUACAUGCAAGUCGAGCGAAAAGACGAGGAGCUUGCUCCUCUGACGAUAGCGGAGGACGGGUGAGAAACACGUGGAUAACCUCCCUAUAAGACUGGGAUAACCACGGGAAACCGGAGCUAACACGGGAGAAGCUAUUGAACCGCAUUGUUCAAUGGAGAAAGACGGCGUUGGUGGCACGUAUAGAUGGAUCCCGGCUGCAUUAGCUAGUAGGUAAGGUCACGGGUUACCAAGGGAACGAUGCGUAGCCGACCUGUGAGAGUGGUCGGCCGCCCGGGAGCGUGGCCACGGUCCAGACUCCUACGGUAGGCAGCAGUAGGGUAUCUUCCGCAGUGGGCGAAAGCCUGACAGAACAACGCCGCGUGAGUGAUGAAGGUCUUCCGAUCGUAAAACUCUGUUAUUAGGGAAGAACCAAUGUGUAAGUAACUAUGCACGUCUUGACGGUACCUAGUCAGAAAGCCACGGCUAACUACGUG